rnacentral:rRNA from 1 species
AUUGAACGCUGGCGGCAUGCCUUACACGUGCAAGUCGAACGGCAGCACGGGUGCUUGCACCUGGUGGCGAGUGGCGAACGGGUGAGUAAUACAUCGGAACAUGUCCUGUAGUGGGGGAUAGCCCGGCGAAAGCCGGAUUAAUACCGCAUACGAUCUACGGAUGAAAGCGGGGGACCUUCGGGCCUCGCGCUAUAGGGUUGGCCGAUGGCUGAUUAGCUAGUUGGUGGGGUAAAGGCCUACCAAGGCGACGAUCAGUAGCUGGUCUGAGAGGACGACCAGCCACACUGGGACUGAGACACGGCCCAGACUCCUACGGGAGGCAGCAGUGGGGAAUUUUGGACAAAGGGCGAAAGCCUGAUCCAGCAAUGCCGCGUGUGUGAAGAAGGCCUUCGGGUUGUAAAGCACUUUUGUCCGGAAAGAAAUCCUUGGCCCUAAUACGGUCGGGGGAUGACGGUACCGGAAGAAUAAGCACCGGCUAACUACGUG